CAAAUGCGAAACGUAUUGUGACAUGCAAUCUUUGGAAACAACGAAUAUUUGAACGCACCUUGCACCGCGUGGCGUCCGCCAGGCGGUAUACUUGGCUGAGCAUCGACACGUCUCCAGGCGCACGCAGUUGCGUCAGCGUCAGGGAGCUGAGCCGGCGGCAGGCCGUGGCUUGAAAGGCAGCGCGGGCGGCGGCGGCAGCAUGGGACAGGCGACACAUGCGGCGGCCACCAGCCCCAAUCACGAAGCAGAACAGAUCUCAGCCAAGUAGGAGCACCCGCUGAACUUAA
rnacentral:misc_RNA from 1 species